UACGGAGGGUGCGAGCGUUGUCCGGAAUCAUUGGGCGUAAAGGGCGCGUAGGUGGCCCGGUCAGUUCGUGGUGAAAGCGCGGGGCUCAACCCUGCGUCGGCCAUGAAUACUGCCGCGGCUGGAGCACUGUAGAGGCAGGCGGAAUUCCGGGUGUAGCGGUGGAAUGCGUAGAGAUCCGGAGGAACCCUGAGGCCGAAGGCGGCGUCCGUGGCGCACUUCUGACGUUCAGACACGACAGCAUGGGGAGCGAACGGGAUAGAAACCGUUGU
rnacentral:rRNA from 1 species